rnacentral:rRNA from 1 species
UACGGAGGAUGCGAGCGUUAUCCGGAUUUAUUGGGUUUAAAGGGUGCGUAGGCGGGCGAUUAAGUUGGAGGUGAAAAACCUGGGCUCAACCGAGGUUCUGCCUCCAAUACUGGUUGUCUUGAAUGCGGAUGCCGUGGGAGGAAUGGGCAGUGUAGCGGUGAAAUGCAUAGAUAUUGCCCAGAACACCGAUUGCGAAGGCAUCUCACGAAUCCGCUAUUGACGCUGAGGCACGAAAGCGUGGGGAUCGAAC